rnacentral:rRNA from 1 species
GAAGUAAAAGUCGUAACAAGGUCUCCGUAGGUGAACCUGCGGAGGGAUCAUUACACAAUAUGCAAGCGGGCUGGGAUCCCCGGGAGGGCGUCUAUUCUGCCGUUUCCGUCGCAUCUGCGGUGCUGAAGCGACAGGGCGGGCGUCUUUUCGGCCAGCCUGACUCCAUAUUCACCCAUGUCUUUUGCGUACUACUUGUUUCCUUGGUGGGUUCGCCCACCAACAGGACCAUUUAAACCUUUUUGUAAUUGCAAUCAGCGUCAGCAAAACAAUGUAAUAAAUUACAACUUUCAACAACGGAUCUCUUGGUUCUGGCAUCGAUGAAGAACGCAGCGAAAUGCGAUAAGUAGUGUGAAUUGCAGAAUUCAGUGAAUCAUCGAAUCUUUGAACGCACAUUGCGCCCUUUGGUAUUCCAAAGGGCAUGCCUGUUCGAGCGUCAUUUGUACCCUCAAGCUUUGCUUGGUGUUGGGCGUUUUUGUCUCUGGUCCGCCAGCGACUCGCCUUAAAAUCAUUGGCAGCCGGCCUACUGGUUUCGGAGCGCAGCACAAAUUUGCGCUUCUUCCAGCAGCGGUCCGCGUCCAUGAAGCCACUUUUUCAACGUUUGACCUCGGAUCAGGUAGGGAUACCCGCUGAACUUAAGCAUA